rnacentral:rRNA from 1 species
CAGCAGCCACGGUAAUACAGAGGGUGCGAGCGUUAAUCGGAUUUACUGGGCGUAAAGCGUGCGUAGGCGGCUUCUUAAGUCGGAUGUGAAAUCCCUGAGCUUAACUUAGGAAUUGCAUUCGAUACUGGGAAGCUAGAGUAUGGGAGAGGAUGGUAGAAUUCCAGGUGUAGCGGUGAAAUGCGUAGAGAUCUGGAGGAAUACCGAUGGCGAAGGCAGCCAUCUGGCCUAACACUGACGCUGAGGUACGAAAGCAUGGGGAGCAAACAGGAUUAGAUACCCGGGUAGUCCCUGUCUCUUAUAC